GAUGAACGCUGGCGGCGUGCCUAAUACAUGCAAGUAGAACGCUGAAGGAGGAGCUUGCUCUUCUGGAUGAGUUGCGAACGGGUGAGUAACGCGUAGGUAACCUGCCUGGUAGCGGGGGAUAACUAUUGGAAACGAUAGCUAAUACCGCAUGACAACAGUUAUUGCAUGAUAACUGUUUAAAAGGGGCAACUGCUCCACUACCAGAUGGACCUGCGUUGUAUUAGCUAGUUGGUGAGGUAACGGCUCACUAAGGCGACGAUACAUAGCCGACCGGGGAAGGGGAUCGGCCACACUGGGACUGGGACACGGCCCAGGCUCCUACGGGAGGCAGCAGUAGGGAAUCUUCGGCAAUAGACGGAAGUCUGACCGAGCAACGCCGGGGGAGUGAAGAAGGUUUUCGGAUCGUAAAGCUCUGUUGUAAGAGAAGAACGAGUGUGAGAGUGGAAAGUUCACACUGUGACGGUAUCUAACCAGAAAGGGACGGCUAACUACGUG
rnacentral:rRNA from 1 species